rnacentral:rRNA from 1 species
AAUGAACGCUGGCGGCAGGCCUAACACAUGCAAGUCGAACGGAUCCUUCGGGAUUAGUGGCGGACGGGUGAGUAACGCGUGGGAACGUGCCCUUUGGUUCGGAAUAGCCUCGGGAAACUGGGAGUAAUACCGGAUAAGCCCUUCGGGGGAAAGAUUUAUCGCCAAAGGAUCGGCCCGCGUUGGAUUAGGUAGUUGGUGGGGUAAUGGCCUACCAAGCCGACGAUCCAUAGCUGGUUUGAGAGGAUGAUCAGCCACACUGGGACUGAGACACGGCCCAGACUCCUACGGGAGGCAGCAGUGGGGAAUCUUAGACAAUGGGGGAAACCCUGAUCUAGCCAUGCCGCGUGAUCGAUGAAGGCCUUAGGGUUGUAAAGAUCUUUCAGUUGGGAAGGUAAUGACGGUACCAACAGAAGAAGCCCCGGCUAACUCCGUGCCAGCAGCCGCAGUAA